rnacentral:rRNA from 1 species
GGUUCAGGAUGAACGCUAGCUACAGGCUUAACACAUGCAAGUCGAGCGGAAUGCUUCGGGCAUUUAGCGGCAGACGGGUGAGUAACACGUAUCCAACCUUUCCCUUACUCGGGUAUAGCCUCGGGAAACUGAGAGUAAUCCCCGAUGCAGUGUACGAACAGCAUUAUUUGCACACUAAAGAUUUAUCGGUAAGGGGUGGGGAUGCGUUCCAUUAGGUAGUAGGCGGGGUAACGGCCCACCUAGCCGAUGAUGGAUAGGGGUUCUGAGAGGAAGGUCCCCCACAUUGGAACUGCGACACGGUCCAAACUCCUACGGGAGGCAGCAGUGAGGAAUAUUGGUCAAUGGUCGAAGGACUGAACCAGCCAAGUAGCGUGCAGGAUGACGGCCCUAUGGGUUGUAAACUGCUUUUGUGCGGGAAUAACGGUCUCCACGUGUGGAGAUGUGCAUGUACCGUACGAAUAAGGAUCGGCUAACUCCGUGCCAGCAGCCGC